rnacentral:rRNA from 1 species
CAGCAGCAGCCGCGGGAAUACAGAGGGUGCAAGCGUUAAUCGGAAUUACUGGGCGUAAAGCGCGCGUAGGUGGUUUGUUAAGUUGGAUGUGAAAUCCCCGGGCUCAACCUGGGAACUGCAUUCAAAACUGACUGACUAGAGUAUGGUAGAGGGUGGUGGAAUUUCCUGUGUAGCGGUGAAAUGCGUAGAUAUAGGAAGGAACACCAGUGGCGAAGGCGACCACCUGGACUAAUACUGACACUGAGGUGCAAAAGCGUGGGGAGCAAACAGGAUUAGAUACCCCAGUAGUCCCUGUCUCUUAUAC